UCGACUCUACCGAUUGAAUGGUUCGGUGAAAACUUUGGACUGUGGCAUUGUCCUUCAUUGGACUUCGCCGUAGGAAAUUGUUUAAACCUCAUCAUUUAGAGGAAGUAA
rnacentral:rRNA from 1 species